CCCGACUGUUGCUGCUACCUUGACGUGGUGGUCGGGCUUGCCUAUCGUGAUUAUCUAAUCGAGCAAUGCUGGCUGGAAAAAUCGUUCCUCAAGGUCCUACCAUGCCAGACAGGUCGGUUGAAGAGCGGUAAGACUAAAAACAGC
rnacentral:ribozyme from 1 species